CUCUCCACCGUUGCUCCCUCCUUGCGCUGACAUUUUUCUUGUUUUCUGCUGGUGAUGGAGAUCAAAGAGAGGGAGGAGAACGUGGAGGGGUUGAUCAAUGAUUGGGAGGAGGAAAGAGAUGCUGUUGCGAGAGAAAGAGAGAGAAAAGGAGAAGAGAAAGAAGAAUCUGAUUUGCUUUGUCCAGAGAUGCUUUGACGGUUUUCUACAUGACCGUGUAAGUAUCGUAUUGACUUUAUUUAUGAUCAUGCAUGCGAGAUAUUAACUAAACCGGCUUUGCAUAUCAAAGAUUUGGUACCCGAAUUGUAUAUUAAAAAAUAUUUAGGGAAUGUGAUUUCCUUCUUUACCAAAAUAUAUAUACAUGAUGGUUUUAGAAAGUUGUUUAGAUUUGUUUACAGAACUUCGUCAUCAGCAUCAAAUCAUGUCUUUGUAAUAGCAAGUUGCAAAAGUCAAACAAGUUUAGUUGAACGUGUUUGCAAUAUAUAUAUGUCGAUCAUCCUAGAGCAUAAGUAUAUAAAUUCAUUGCAUUUAGGUAUGUUCACAACAUGGAGGCAGAAGAGAUCAUCCAUCACAGUGGUGAGCAGAAUAGAAACUGACCAGCAGCUCCCUCCCUUUUCUCUUCUUUUUCUUAUGGAUCAGUUUAUAGGGUGAAUUAAGUCAAAUAGGAUUCAAAAUAGAGGAAAAAGAGAGGGAGUUGCUGGAUUGUCUUUUCAAGGAUGUUUUGGGAUUAAGCUAAACAGGGGACAUUGCUAGGGAAACACUAAAAUGGGGCACCUCACCAGAAAUGUCUAAAAAGAAAGAUUUUUUCUAGGAAUUCAUCCUUAAAUUUACCUACUUUCUACAACAGAAAAAGUCAAACUAGAAUCCAUCAUUAGAUGAGUGGAUCCACUUUAUUAUUCUGAGAGAAAUCUUUUGCAUUUGGAGUUGGACUUUCACCCAUCAUUGCUUAACAAUUAAGCAAGAUUGCAUUGUUGGUCUUAAGCAGAAAUGCUGUGGCUUCCAUCUGCUGAUGGCAAUAGCUUUUGGGUUGCUUUACAGUUAAGCAAGAUUAAGAUUGCACUGCUAAUGUAAUAGUGAUAUGGGUUCCAUGAACAAUGAAAUUACUGCUGGGUUGAUUAAUACUAGUGAUGCUAUGUGACCCCAAACUGUGGCUGGCACAGUUUCAAUUUUCAUAAACAUCUCAGAAAGUGAACUGGUAGUGAUCAGACACCCUAUUUCUUAUAAGAUUUUGUGUUAAUAACAACCGUUCUUUUUCCAUUUUCUCUGGUAAUUACAGAAAUUUGAGCUUGGAUGAGAUUCCUUGAGCACUCAGUAGACGUAAGCCUGUCAAAUUCACAUGACAUGAUAUAGUGAGCAUAAAAAGAGAGAUCAAGUUCAUGAGAUUUCUCUUAGUACAAGGUUAAAGAAGGAUGAACUAUUAUUAACGAGGUGCUAAUUUAAGAAUAUCGAUCUGAAAACCCUCAUUUUUGCUUCCUAAGGUAGUGAAAAAUUGGUGCUAUCAUUUGAUAGAUUUACUCAAAGCAGGAUGAUUAUGGUUUCUGUCAAGUAACUCAUGGAGCUGCCACUAUGAACAAGUCUGUCGAAACUAAUUGAUAAAGGCACAAAUUCUCUGGAUUCAAAGGCAGACUGUACUGUGAUGGACAAAUUUGAAUCACAGUAUAGAAUCUUGUCUUAGAAAAGUAUUAAUUAGCUCGUAUUGUAAUUGGAAUUCUCAUAAUCAUGGAUUGUGACUCCGAAACACUUCUGAAGUCCUGUCAAAUUUACACUGAAGAGAGGCAGUAUCAUAUCCAUGGAUUGGUGGGCUACAAUUGCUUGGAGCACUGACUUGUUAUUAAAUUUAGGGAUAGCGUGGAGACUAAUAAAAAGGAAGUAUCAAACAUUAAAAUCUGCAGUAAAGAUGGCCACCAAAAAAAGCAGUGGACCAAAGGCACUCAGAACACUGCAUCCUCUUAUCACCAUCCUUUAAUUGCCCUAUAACCAAUACUAUUCUAUGUUAUCACUUGUGCAAUUGGCAGAUUAACUUUCUAAAGUGAUCUCUCAGAUCAUAUCACUUGUGCAAAUGGCAGAUUAACUUUCUAAAGUGAUCUCUCAGAUCAAAUCCUCCUCUCCAAGCUAACAUCUUUCAUCACCAUUACAUGCUCAUCAAAAAGCAUGGGGAAAGGGCACACUACAUUCACAUACAGCAAUCCAAUUCCUUGAGGAGAUGGUUGUGUUUCCUCAGAUUUCUUUUCUCUUUUAUGAGUUCACUUUCUCUACUGCUUUGAUAGUAACUUGAAUUCAAGGUAAUUUUUUUCUCUUUUUUCUUUUGGAGAUAAUCUCCCUUGUCUGUAUGUCAAUGGAUAUGUUCUUUUUUAAUGGGAAAUUUGUAUAUGUAUUUUGCAUUCCAUCUGGUUAACAAAGUGCUUUGUCAUCAAAUGGAUAAGAACAAAUAAUUAAACUUGGACUUGAACCUGUCUCAGACAGGACACUGUUAGAAUUCUAUCAGGACACUGUUAGCAUACUUUGACAUGCUUUAUUCUGUGUGAAUUCUGCUAUACAAAGUGCUUUGCCAUCCAGUGGAUAAGAACAAAUAAUUGAACUUGGACUUGAACCUGACUGUGCCCAUGAGACACUUCGAAUUCUAACAGGGCACUGUUAGCACACCUUGACAUGCAUAUGGUAGAAAAGAUUGGUUCUUGAGAGGAUUUUGGUUUGAACAUAUCAUGACUGGAAACUUGAAUGGGGAAGGAAACUCUGAACAUGUAUCAUACAGAUGCCACAAACUGUUUACAUUUCCUACAGAGACAAAUAAGCAGGAGUUUUUACAGUAAUCCUCACAACAACAUGAACUUUGAUCACACAGACGAAAGGUCUCUAUCAAAGACCAACAAUUUUACAGUAGAAAUGCUUCAUUGCUGAGACAGGAUUCUCCUAAAGCAUUUCACCUCAGUAACAUGGAUACAAAGAGAUCGGGGACUUAUAGGUCCAAUUUAGAGGGCUCUCCAACGCGAUGGGAAGUCGUCUGCUAAGGUAAUUAUCUAUUAUGCUUGGAAGUCAUCAUCAUCUAUCUUCCACAGAGAGUAAGAGCAGUACUCCCAGGUAGGAGAAGGCAUUGUGAGGCGCGAAAUAUCGCAAGCUUCGUCCUUGCACUCCUCGAAGCUCAGCUCACCGAUCAUGUCAGGUGCAGCGAUCUCAUUCCAGAUUUGAUCCAUGGGGUAGCCACUGACAGCGGCAUCAUCAAUCUCUCC
rnacentral:lncRNA from 1 species